GAUGAAGAACGUAGCGAAAUGCGAUACGUAAUGUGAAUUGCAGAAUUCAGUGAAUCAUCGAAUCUUUGAACGCAUAUUGCGCUCUCUGGUAUUCCGGAGAGCAUGCUUGUUUGAGUAUCAGUAAACACCUCAACUCCCUUUUCUUUUUUGAAAUUGGAGCUGGACUUGAGUGAUCCCAACGCUUUCUUCCAAGAAAGUGGCGGGUUGCUUGAAAUGCAGGUGCAGCUGAACUUUUCUCUGAGCUAUAAGCAUAUCUAUUUAGUCUGCCUAAAAAACAGAUGAUUACCUUUGCUGCAGCUAACAUAAAGGAGACUAGUUCUUGUGCUGACUGAUGCAGGAUUCACAGAGACAGCUUCGGCUGACUUUGUAAACUCGAUCUCAAAUCAAGUAAGACUACCCGCUGAACUUAAGCAUAUCAAUAAGCGGAGGA
rnacentral:misc_RNA from 1 species